GGUCUGACCAGGUUUGAGGAUUAUCCCUGCCCCCCUGGGUACUGGUGCCCAGGUAAAGGGGAUGCUUUCCUGUGUCCAGCUGGCACUUCCAGGAUCCAGCCUGGUGCAAAAUCAUUGGAAGAGUGUGAUCCCUGCUCACCUGGAUACUUCUGCCCAGAUCCAGCAGAGACAGGGCUGCCUAACACCCAGGGAGUACCCUGUAAACCUGGCUAUGAGUGCCCAGCAGGUGACAUGGCCAUGCUCCUGUUUUCUUUAUUUCCAGCUAUUUCUGGCUGGGAUCAAUCACUGUUUCCCCUUUUUGCCACCAGGUUCAGUAAAUCCAAAGCCUUGCAGGCCUGGCCUGUACUGUGCUGCUCACACAGCCCUGCCUUCCAUGUGCCCUGCUGGGUAUUACUGUCCUGAAGGAUCAUCAACAUACAAUAGCCCUGAGCAGCUGUGUGUGUUUCCCUACUACUGCCCCCCAGGCAGUGCCCAUCCGCUGCCCUGUGAAGCAGGGUACAUGGCCCUCAGCUUGCCUGGUCCAAGGGACUCACCUGAGAAGUUCUGCAGGAUCUGUGAUGCAGGCACCUACCGCAGUGACCCGCUCAUCAUGUCCCCCUGCCAGCCCUGCCCUGCAGGCUUCCUAUGCCCACAAGGUGCAACCAGCUGUACCUGCCACGGGCUGAACCGGGCUUUCCAGCAG
rnacentral:lncRNA from 14 species